rnacentral:rRNA from 1 species
GUCUUUUUGUUUAAUAAUUUAAAGUUUAAUCUGCCCCCUGAUUAAUAAUUAAAGGGCUGCAGUAUAUUGACUGUACAAAGGUAGCAUAAUCAUUAGUCUUUUAAUUGAAGACUUGUAUGAAAGAUUUGAUGAAAUAUAAACUGUCUCUAAGUUAAUUAUAGAAAUUAAUUUUUUAAUUAAAAAGUUAAAAUAAUUUAAAAAGACGAGAAGACCCUAUAGAGUUUUAUAUUAAUAAAAAAUUUAAAUUAAAUAUAAAAAUAAUAAAUUUAAAAUUUUAUUAAUAUUUUAUUGGGGUGAUAAAAAAAUUUAAUUAACUUUUUUUAAAAUAAAAUCAUAAAUAAAUGAGUGAGUGAUCCAUAAAUAAUGAUUAAAAGAAAAAAUUACCUUAGGGAUAACAGCGUAAUUUUUUUUUUUAGUACAAAUAAAAAAAAAAGGUUGCGACCUCGAUGUUGGAUUAAGAUAAAAUUUAAAUGCAAAAGUUUAAAAUUUUGAUCUGUUCGAUCAUUAAAAUCUUACAU